AGAGUUUGAUUCUGGCUCAGAACGAACGCUGGCGGCGUGGAUAAGACAUGCAAGUCGAACGAGAGAAUUGCUAGCUUGCUAAUAAUUCUCUAGUGGCGCACGGGUGAGUAACACGUGAGUAACCUGCCCCCGAGAGCGGGAUAGCCCUGGGAAACUGGGAUUAAUACCGCAUAGUAUCGAAAGAUUAAAGCAGCAAUGCGCUUGGGGAUGGGCUCGCGGCCUAUUAGUUAGUUGGUGAGGUAACGGCUCACCAAGGCGAUGACGGGUAGCCGGUCUGAGAGGAUGUCCGGCCACACUGGAACUGAGACACGGUCCAGACACCUACGGGUGGCAGCAGUCGAGAAUCAUUCACAAUGGGGGAAACCCUGAUGGUGCGACGCCGCGUGGGGGAAUGAAGGUCUUCGGAUUGUAAACCCCUGUCAUGUGGGAGCAAAUUAAAAAGAUAGUACCACAAGAGGAAGAGACGGCUAACUCUGUGCCAGCAGCCGCGGUAAUACAGAGGUCUCAAGCGUUGUUCGGAAUCACUGGGCGUAAAGCGUGCGUAGGCUGUUUCGUAAGUCGUGUGUGAAAGGCGCGGGCUCAACCCGCGGACGGCACAUGAUACUGCGAGACUAGAGUAAUGGAGGGGGAACCGGAAUUCUCGGUGUAGCAGUGAAAUGCGUAGAUAUCGAGAGGAACACUCGUGGCGAAGGCGGGUUCCUGGACAUUAACUGACGCUGAGGCACGAAGGCCAGGGGAGCGAAAGGGAUUAGAUACCCCUGUAGUCCUGGCAGUAAACGGUGCACGCUUGGUGUGCGGGGAAUCGACCCCCUGCGUGCCGGAGCUAACGCGUUAAGCGUGCCGCCUGGGGAGUACGGUCGCAAGAUUAAAACUCAAAGAAAUUGACGGGGACCCGCACAAGCGGUGGAGUAUGUGGUUUAAUUCGAUGCAACGCGAAGAACCUUA
rnacentral:rRNA from 1 species